rnacentral:rRNA from 1 species
AACGAACGCUGGCGGCAUGCCUAACACAUGCAAGUCGAACGAGACCUUCGGGUCUAGUGGCGCACGGGUGCGUAACGCGUGGGAACCUGCCCUUAGGUUCGGAAUAACUCCCCGAAAGGGGUGCUAAUACCGGAUAAUGUCUUCGGACCAAAGAUUUAUCGCCCUUGGAUGGGCCCGCGUUGGAUUAGCUAGUUGGUAGGGUAAAAGCCUACCAAGGCGACGAUCCAUAGCUGGUCUGAGAGGAUGAUCAGCCACACUGGGACUGAGACACGGCCCAGACUCCUACGGGAGGCAGCAGUGGGGAAUAUUGGACAAUGGGCGAGAGUCUGAUCCAGCAGUGCCGCGUGAGUGAUGAAGGCCUUAGGGUUGUAAAGCUCUUUUACCCGGGAUGAUAAUGACAGUACCGGGAGAAUAAGCUCCGGCUAACUCCGUG